rnacentral:rRNA from 1 species
GACAGAGGAUGCAAGCGUUAUCCGGAAUGAUUGGGCGUAAAGCGUCUGUAGGUGGCUUUUUAAGUCCGCCGUCAAAUCCCAGGGCUCAACCCUGGACAGGCGGUGGAAACUACCAAGCUGGAGUACGGUAGGGGCAGAGGGAAUUCCUGGUGUAGCGGUGAAAUUCGUAGAUAUUCGCAGGAACACCAGUGGCGAAGGCGGCUUACUGGUCCAUAACUGACGCUGAGGUGCGAAAGCGUGGGGGAGCAAACAGGG